GCGAAGUUCCGGUUUCAGUUCGUGAGCGCCCUAGGUCCACUGUUCAAAUCCUUGUUUCAUCUACGUAUCUGUUAGAUUUGCGAUGUCAAAGAGAGGACGGCCUUUCAAAAGCCAGCCGACGCAAACCGAAGCAAACAAGCAUCCAAGGUUGGCCGUUGAUGAUGUAGUGGAUGAUGUUCUUCCACUAGCAAUUGCCCAAAAAUUCCGGGAAAGACCCCGAUAAGAGGAAGCAGAGAGGAAAAAAAGUAGACCACCUAUACAGCCGAAGCACUACAGAAUUCCUCAACUGUUUGAAAGGCCUGACUCCACGGCAGAAGGAAGCCGUGCAUGAACUUGGCUUUGG